rnacentral:rRNA from 1 species
AGAGUUUGAUCCUGGCUCAGAACGAACGCUGGCGGCAGGCUUAACACAUGCAAGUCGAACGCAUCGCAAGAUGAGUGGCAGACGGGUGAGUAACGCGUGGGAAUCUACCUAGUUCUACGGAACAACACAGGGAAACUUGUGCUAAUACCGUAUACGCCCUACGGGGGAAAGAUUUAUCGGAAUUAGAUGAGCCCGCGUAAGAUUAGCUAGUUGGUGGGGUAAUGGCCUACCAAGGCGACGAUCUUUAGCUGGUCUGAGAGGAUGAUCAGCCACACUGGGACUGAGACACGGCCCAGACUCCUACGGGAGGCAGCAGUGGGGAAUAUUGGACAAUGGGCGCAAGCCUGAUCCAGCCAUGCCGCGUGAGUGAUGAAGGCCUUAGGGUUGUAAAGCUCUUUCA